CCCAAACCUCACAUCAAACCUGUGAGGCAUGUAGCAGACGGUAUCCUCAACUUACCUCACCUGUGGGGAAAUCACUGCCAAGCAUCAGACCAGCUUAGUGGCCUGCCAACACUGUGAGCGCCUCCGCCACUAGCACAGACUGAGCAAGUGGGCACCUCUAGUUUGUUCUGCAACCACUUUGCAGACAAAGUGCAAAACAGAGUGCCCUCUAUCCCAGUUCACCAAGGAGAGAAAUGCGUUUUAAAAUGGCCCCGUGAGCCCUGUUCUAAGCAGCUAAGAUCAUCUUGAGGGAGUGGCAACUGUAUCCAUGGAAACAUUACAGCCCCGAGGGCAUCUGCAGGAUCUGCACGUGUGCUAAAUGCGACUGGUCAAGGGCGGGCGGGUCUGUCUGCGUCCAGAUGGGAUGAACGUGGCCAGGCCGCCAGGCUAAUGCUAGGCUGUUUCGUCUGCAUAAACCACACUGCGUCUUUUACUGAACGAUUACUCGGUAAUCACUCAGCUGGGGAGAGGGGAGGAGUGGGGUGGGGAGAUUGGUAACACAUAUCCAGCAGCUGAAUUAAGUCCAAAUCAUAUACUUUGGGGGAACUGUUUCCAUUUUGAGUGUCCUUCUCCUCCUUCUUGGGACGUUCCACUGAUUUACGGCUCACUGGGGUUUUAAUUUAGACUUUUGUCAGUUUUUCAAGGCAGACCUUUCCAAGUAACACAUCUAUCACCUAAAUAUAC
rnacentral:lncRNA from 1 species